rnacentral:rRNA from 1 species
UACAGAGGCCACAAGCGUUAGACGGAAUCACUGGGCUUAAAGCGUGUGUAGGCGGGAUGGUAAGUACCUUGUGAAAUCCCACAGCUUAACUGUGGAAAUGCUUGGUAUACUGCCGUUCUUGAGUCACCUAGGGGCAGCUGGAACAGAUGGUGGAGCGGUGAAAUGCAUAGAUAUCAUCUGGAACGCCAAUGGUGCAGACAAGCUGCUGGGGGUGUACUGACGCUGAGGCACGGAAAGCCAGGGGAGCAAACGGG